rnacentral:lncRNA from 1 species
AUGAAAAGAGAGAGGGCAGAGAGUGAAGAAGAGUUCAGGAGGGCUCCCUGGAGGAGGGAGCCUGGAGUGCCAGGGAUGGCCUUGGAGAGGGACAGACUGCCAGGCCAGAAAUCUGGUCCCUGGGUCAAAGCUGUCCCACUCCUCUCAAGUGCCACACUAGACACCUCCACCCCCACUACAAGUUGCAGCCCUCCCUCUACUCAGGACAAGCAGACUGCAGGCACCAAGUUUCUCUGUCCUCAGGGUGAGUCCUCAUCUCCCUUUUCCAAUGAGAACAUUCAUCAUUGGAACCCCUUUCCACUUCAAGGUAGGGCCUCCAUCCUUUAUCCAUCUCCUCAGGAUUUGCUUUCUCCUCUGUACCUCCUCCCCUGUAUGCUCUUCUAUUUCUGAGACUAUAGAGACAACCCCUCAGGCCUCCUCCUCUCAGUCCUGUCUGCAGCCUUUGAUGCUUCUGGCUCACUCUCUCCUCCUUGAUAGUCUCU